rnacentral:rRNA from 1 species
AUAUGGUAGGAGAGCGUUCUGUAAGCCUGCGAAGGUGUCUUGUAAAGGAUGCUGGAGGUAUCAGAAGUGCGAAUGCUGACAUGAGUAGCGAUAAUGGGGGUGAAAAGCCUCCACGCCGUAAGCCCAAGGUUUCCUGUUCAACGUUCAUCGGAGCAGGGUGAGUCGGCCCCUAAGGCGAGGCAGAGAUGCGUAGCUGAUGGGAAGCAGGUUAAUAUUCCUGCACCGUCGUAUGAUGCGAUGGGGGGACGGAUCGCGGAAGGUUGUCUGACUGUUGGAAUAGUCAGUUUCUGUCUCAUAGAAGGCGCUUAGGCAAAUCCGGGCGCGCAAUUCAAGGGGAUGGGACGAGUGAACUUGUUCACGAAGCAAUCGGAAGUGGUUCCAAGAAAAGCCUCUAAGCUUCAGUCAUACGAGACCGUACCGCAAACCGACACAGGUGGGCGAGAUGAGUAUUCUAAGGCGCUUGAGAGAACUCGGGAGAAGGAACUCGGCAAAUUGGUACCGUAACUUCGGGAAAAGGUACGCCCCGGUAGCUUGAUUGGUUUACUCCAUGAGGGUGAAAGGGUUGCAAUAAACUGGUGGCUGCGACUGUUUAAUAAAAACACAGCACUCUGCAAACACGAAAGUGGACGUAUAGGGUGUGACGCCUGCCCGGUGCUGGAAGAUUAAAUGAUGGGGUGCAAGCUCUUGAUUGAAGUCCCAGUAAACGGCGGCCGUAACUAUAACGGUCCUAAGGUAGCGAAAUUCCUUGUCGGGUAAGUUCCGACCUGCACGAAUGGCGUAACGAUGGCCACACUGUCUCCUCCCGAGACUCAGCGAAGUUGAAAUGUUUGUGAUGAUGCAAUCUACCCGCGGCUAGACGGAAAGACCCCAUGAACCUUUACUGUAGCUUUGCAUUGGACUUUGAACCAAUCUGUGUAGGAUAGGUGGGAGGCUUUGAAGCGGGGACGCUAGUUCUCGUGGAGCCAACCUUGAAAUACCACCCUGGUUUGUUUGAGGUUCUAACCUUGGUCCGUUAUCCGGAUCGGGGACAGUGCAUGGUAGGCAGUUUGACUGGGGCGGUCUCCUCCUAAAGUGUAACGGAGGAGUUCGAAGGUACGCUAGAUACGGUCGGACAUCGUGUUGAUAGUGCAAUGGCAUAAGCGUGCUUAACUGCGAGACUGACAAGUCGAGCAGGUACGAAAGUAGGACAUAGUGAUCCGGUGGUUCUGUAUGGAAGGGCCAUCGCUCAACGGAUAAAAGGUACUCUGGGGAUAACAGGCUGAUUCCUCCCAAGAGUUCAUAUCGACGGGGGAGUUUGGCACCUCGAUGUCGGCUCAUCACAUCCUGGGGCUGUAGCCGGUCCCAAGGGUAUGGCUGUUCGCCAUUUAAAGUGGUACGUGAGCUGGGUUUAAAACGUCGUGAGACAGUUUGGUCCCUAUCUGCCGUGGGCGUUGGAAAUUUGAAGGGGGCUGCUCCUAGUACGAGAGGACCGGAGUGGACGAACCUCUGGUGUACCGGUUGUCACGCCAGUGGCAUUGCCGGGUAGCUAAGUUCGGAAGAGAUAACCGCUGAAAGCAUCUAAGCGGGAAACUUGCCUUGAGAUGAGAUUUCCCAGAGCCUUGAGCUCUUUGAAGGGUCGUUCGAGACCAGGACGUUGAUAGGCUGGGUGUGGAAGUGCAGUAAUGCAUUAAGCUAACCAGUACUAAUUGCCCGUACGGCUUGUCCCU